rnacentral:rRNA from 1 species
GACGAACGCUGGCGGCGUGCUUAACACAUGCAAGUCGAACGGAAAGGCCCUGCUUUUGUGGGGUGCUCGAGUGGCGAACAGGUGAGUAACACGUGAGUAACCUGCCCUUGACUUUGGGAUAACUUCAGGAAACUGGGGCUAAUACCGGAUAGGAGCUCCUGCUGCAUGGUGGGGGUUGGAAAGUUUCGGCGGUUGGGGAUGGACUCGCGGCUUAUCAGCUUGUUGGUGGGGUAGUGGCUUACCAAGGCUUUGACGGGUAGCCGGCCUGAGAGGGUGACCGGCCACAUUGGGACUGAGAUACGGACCAGACUCCUACGGGAGGCAGCAGUGGGGAAUAUUGCACAAUGGGCGGAAGCCUGAUGCAGCAACGCCGCGUGCGGGAUGACGGCCUUCGGGUUGUAAACCGCUUUCGCCUGUGACGAAGCGUGAGUGACGGUAAUGGGUAAAGAAGCACCGGCUAACUACGUG